UGCUGUGGAGAGACUCAAACUACAUAAGCUCCUCCCAACAGGGGGCAGCCCUCACCCCGCCUCCACCCCUAACCACAAUAAAACUCAACCAGUCUCUGUUCCCUGCUCUCUCAAGCCAUUCUGGACUUACAGAAAGGUCCGCUCUGCUUUCCCCAGAGACCUCAAUUAUGUCAAAAUGUGCUGGCUGGGGCAGUUAAUGCCCACACACAUCUGGGUUGUGUCACCUGGCACCUGGCCCCUUUCAUAGCCACUGGGGAAGCCAGAUCUGGGCACGUGGCCUGAUGGCUGCUGCGGUGGAACCACAUGCACACACUCGGUCAGUCACCACUGGGAUGGCCUCGUCAGGGGAGGCUGAGUGGCUGGGAGACCGCUGAGCCUAUGAUAGCUAAGCAAGCAUCUGUGAUGUAUGCACUGCAGUGUCCAAAUGUGAAAAAGCAAGAAAGCAUAUUUUUUUUCUGGAGAGAAGGAGGAAACCACCAGGAGAAUACAAACAGAAAAAAGACUGCUGGCUCCAUGAGGACAAGAACCUUGUAUGACUUUUUCAUGAUGGAUGUUCAUCUGUGUCAGCUGUAAAUAUUUAACAAAUACUUGUGGAAUACACGAAUCCAAAAGUGAGUGGAAUGAUACAGAGGGAAAGGAUCAUGACAUCUACUACAGCAUUUGGCACAGGCCCAGGUAAAUAAGAUAAAGCUUCUAAGUCACUUCUCCUCUUCGAAUCAUGGAAUAUAUUGUGUCAGACCUCAACAAUCAGCUGUGGACUUUUUAAAAAGGAAAAUUAGAUAUGGAUUUAUUACCUGAGCAUUUGCCAUUGUCAAAAUGUGUAGAUGUUACCCCAUUCACUAGUUUUCUCUCGUAAGGAAGCAUUUCUCUAAUGGUGAUCUUCCACCCACCUGUCUUAGAGUCACUGGGGUGAUGGUUAUAAUGAAACCAGCUUCCUCACACCUAGACCAAAUGAAUUAGUAGUUCUAGGGAUGUAGCUCAGGAUCCUCCAUUUAAAUAAGCAUCUAAAGUAAUUUUCAUGCAUGUAAAAAUCUGAGAGCCACCAUUCCUAUUUCUUUGGCAACUUCAGACCAAAGCUUCUCUCCAUACUUCUUCCCUGAGUCUUCUCUCAGUCUCUAUGCUCCUCAACCAUCUCUUCCUUUGCUAGGCUGCUGGAUUCCUAUUGAAUGUGCUUACUUGUUUUCUUUUUUUUUCUUUUUUUCUUUUUUUGAGAUGGAGUCUCGCUCUGUCGCCCAGGCUGGAGUGCA